GAACAUCACUCAGAGAGCGCGGAACAAGAAAUGCAUCACAAAGAAAAAGAUUAAUCCAACAAAAUGAAGUUUGUGAUUGUUCUUGCCUGUCUGUUGGCCAUCGUUCUUCCUCUUGAGGCCAGUAGUAGUGAAAGUGGAAGCAAUGAAAGACAGAGAUUCCCAUCUUGUCCACCAUGUCCAGAUAUUUUAACCAAGGAUAUAAUUGACGCUUUAGGAAAUGCUCUAGUCGCUCUCCAAGCAGCCCCUCCAGUGGCUGAAUGAAACCUAUUGACUGAUCUUGCCGAGAUGAUCUUUACAAGAUACCUAGAGGAUAGCCUUUUGCUUCUGGCACAGUCCAAUGAAUGACCCCGAUUUAGAUGGAUUCUUUAAAAAAGCUUUGCAAUGCUUUCCUUUGAAUAAAUUUGAGCAGCAUUA